rfam:Triticum urartu cultivar G1812 contig577284, whole genome shotgun sequence.
UGUGUACUCCCUCCGUCCGAAAAUACUUGUCAUCAAAAUGGAUAAAAAGGAAUGUAUCUAGAACUAAAAUACGUCUAGAUACAUCUCUUUUUAUUCAUUUUGAUGACAAGUAUUUCCGGACGGGGGGGAUUACUUA